AGCUCCAGUAGCGUAUAUUAAAGUUGUUGCAGUUAAAAAGCUCGUAGUUGGAUUUCUGGUUUAAACCGCCCAGCCGGUCGGCGUUAGUCGCACCAGUGCCGGGUUGUGUUUUGCCAUCCGCCCAUCUUCGUCUUCCGUGCUCUUCAUUGAGUUGCGGUUGUACGGUUGGGCCAUUUACUUUGAAAAAAUUAGAGUGUUUAAAGCAGGCAAUUGCUGUGAAUACAUUAGCAUGGAAUAAUAACAUAGGACUUUUGUUCUAUUUUGUUGGUUUCCUGAACGGAAGUAAUGAUUGAUAGGGACAGUUGGGGGUGCUAGUAUUCAGUGGCCAGAGGUGAAAUUCUUGGAUUCGCUGAAGACUAACUUAUGCGAAAGCAUUCACCAAGGAUGUCUUCUUUAAUCA
rnacentral:rRNA from 1 species